GGUCUUCGGGUACUUACCAUAGGCUGUGUUCUUACACUGACAGUAUAGAAAGAGGAGGCAGAGUAAACUACCCCAUAUACACCUCAGGUCAGGCCCUGUGCCUGGUCUGGAUUAUGAAUGGGAGAUAUGG